rnacentral:rRNA from 1 species
GAUGAACGCUGGCGGCGUGCCUAAUACAUGCAAGUCGAGCGAACAGACGAUGAGCUUGCUCCCCUGACGGUAGCGGCGGACGGGUGAGUAACACGUGGAUAACCUACCUAUAAGACUGGGAUAACUUCGGGAAACCGGUGCUAAUACCGGAUAAUAUAUUGAACCGCAUGGUUCAAUAGUGAAAGACGGUUUUGCUGUCACUUAUAGAUGGUUCCGGGCCGCAUUAGCUAGUUGGUAAGGUAACGGCUUACCAAGGCGACGAUGCGUAGCCGACCUGAGAGGGUGAUCGGCCACACUGGAACUGAGACACGGUCCAGACUCCUACGGGAGGCAGCAGUAGGGAAUCUUCCGCAAUGGGCGAAAGCCUGACGGAGCAACGCCGCGUGAGUGAUGAAGGUCUUCGGAUCGUAAAACUCUGUUAUUAGGGAAGAACAAAUGUGUAAGUAACUAUGCACGUCUUGACGGUACCUAAUCAGAAAGCCCCGGCUAACUACGUG